UACGAAGGGGGCUAGCGUUGCUCGGAAUCACUGGGCGUAAAGGGUGCGUAGGCGGGGCUUUAAGUCAGGGGUGAAAUCCUGGAGCUCAACUCCAGAACUGCCUUUGAUACUGAAGAUCUUGAGUCCGGGAGAGGUGAGUGGAACUGCGAGUGUAGAGGUGAAAUUCGUAGAUAUUCGCAAGAACACCAGUGGCGAAGGCGGCUCACUGGCCCGGUUCUGACGCUGAGGCGCGAAAGCGUGGGGAGCAAACAGG
rnacentral:rRNA from 1 species